UACAGAGGUCUCAAGCGUUGUUCGGAUUCAUUGGGCGUAAAGGGCGCGUAGGUGGUUCGGUAAGUCGGGUGUUAAACCCCCAGGCUCAACCUGGGGACGCCACUCGAUACUGCUGUGACUAGAGUCCGGUAGGGGAGCGUGGAAUUCCUGGUGUAGCGGUGAAAUGCGCAGAUAUCAGGAGGAACACCAGCGGCGAAGGCGGCGCUCUGGGCCGGUACUGACACUGAGGAGCGAAAGCGUGGGUAGCAAACAGG
rnacentral:rRNA from 1 species